UCGGAACAGUGUCCAGGGACUACACAAAUCAAUCAGUCAAUAAAGGGGGAGGAGAAUAUAUAAACUUGUUAUGGAGUGCUAUCUAUUGAGAGUUUCAUUACCUUUGCCUCUGGCCAAUCUUUGGGUAUUUAUAGGUGGUAUGAACCGUGGGAUGUGGAACACGUGUAUACAUCUGACGGUAUGAAGCGUCUGCUCAUAGGCGUCAAUCAGCCGCGCUUGUAGAGUGGGCGGACAGUUUGUUUCCCCCGAGUUGAAUUGACAUAAAGUUGAUAAGUCACAUCAAAUAGCUUUAUGGGGGACGUCACAUCAAUUUAAACCUUAUAUGCAGAGCAAAUCUUAAAUUGGC
rnacentral:lncRNA from 1 species